rnacentral:lncRNA from 1 species
AGAACGUGAAGGUAAAAAAUCCUACAUUGAAAAGUUGAGAAACCUAGCAAGGGCUUAUAAGGAGUUGGGUUACUCCCCCCACACACGCCCCCGCACGUGUGGCGAAUUUUCAAGCCUAACACGUGGACAACACAUUUUGGGUGACGUGGAACACGUGUGGCCGUUGGGCUUUCACAUGUGGGCAACCCGCUCUGAUACCAUGAAGGAAGUUGAG